UACGUAGGGUGCAAGCGUUGUCCGGAAUUAUUGGGCGUAAAGAGCUCGUAGGCGGUUUGUCGCGUCGGCUGUGAAACCUUGGGGCUCAACCCCAAGCCUGCAGUCGAUACGGGCAGACUAGAGUGCGGUAGGGGAGACUGGAAUUCCUGGUGUAGCGGUGAAAUGCGCAGAUAUCAGGAGGAACACCGGUGGCGAAGGCGGUUCUCUGGGCAUUACCUGACGCUGAGGAGCGAAAGUGUGGGGAGCGAACAGG
rnacentral:rRNA from 1 species